GACGAACGCUGGCGGCGUGCUUAACACAUGCAAGUCGAACGGAAAGGCCCUGCUUUUGUGGGGUGCUCGAGUGGCGAACGGGUGAGUAAAACGCGAGUAACCUGCCCUUGUCUUUGGGAUAACUUCAGGAAACUGGGGCUAAUACCGGGUAGGAGCUCCUGCUGCAUGGUGGGGGUUGGAAAGUGUCGGCGGUUGGGGAUGGUUUCGCGGGUUAUCAGCUUGUUGGGGGGGUAGUGGCUUACCAAGGGUUUGACGGGUAGGCGGCAUGAGAGGGGGGCCGGCCACAUUGGGACUGAGAGACGGCCCAGACGCCAACGUGAGGCAGCAGUGGGGAAUCUUGCACAAUGGGCGGAAGCCUGAUGCAACAGCGCCGCGUGCGGGAUGACGGCCUUCGGGUUGUAAACCGCUGUCGCCUGUGACGAAGAGUGAGUGACGGUAAUGAGUAAAGAAGCACCGGCUAACUACGUG
rnacentral:rRNA from 1 species